AACCCAUUUUCCCUAAGGAAAAGAUGAAAUGAAAAAAAAAUGAAAAAUUUGAAAAAUGAAAUGGAAGUUCUUCUCUGAAGGUCUGAUUCUGGAAAGGGGGAACAAUUUCAUACUGAGAGAUGACUUCACAUGUCCCAGGACAGGAGGUUUGACCACAUCAAGCAGUGCCUUAGGUGACAGAAACCUGAGGAAAGGUGGGAUGUGGAUGUCCUGAUGACAACCUGAGCAGCAACACGGGAAGCAGAAGUAAAAACAUGAAACUAAUGCUCUCUCUGUAUCCUAGGACAUGAAGAGCCAUAAAAGUUGCCACCUUUCUGAAGUUGGAGAAAUGCGGAAUGGGUACAACUUUGUGAAGCACAGAAGAAUCUGGAUUCAGCUGAUGCUGUUCCCAUCCCUGCUGUAGUGCUGCCAUAUAAUGAACAGUUCAAAGGUGUCAAAAUUUGUAGUAUGGCAGUACAUAUAACUUGUAAAAAAGAGGAAAAACAGACAAAGCUGCUUCCUAUCAACUGUCAGAUGUGGUAGUUUUACAGACCUAUUUUCUGUACAGUUUUAGCUCACAAGAACAACUUAAUAAUUUCUUCUGGAUUUGAUAUCAAAACCGGGAAAUCAUAUAAACAACCUCUCCGACUGUUUCAGAAGGAGCAAAUUUCCCAGCGCUGCAGGGCUGGAUACACUUCAAACAAAUCAUUACAGACACUGGUAUUUAAAAAAUCAGACACCAAGAAUUUUCAGUCUUGCUCAACACCCAACAGAUUCCUUUGUUUGAAUCCUUAAUCCCACCAUUAGGCACAAAUAAAAUUGUGAUAAAAUUAUGUGGGUUUGGACAUUCCACCUUUUGCCUGUUUUAAAUUAUCUUAAAUAAAUCAUAACUAGAGUUACUUUCUGAGAGUAACCUGACUGGAUGUAGCAUCUAUUCCUCUGCAGGUACCACUUGCACAGGCAUAUUCUGUGCUACUCAUUUAGAAGUUUGUCAAAUAUCUUUCCCUA